GUGCAGAUCUCCGUAUUGGAGGGGCGUAGAAAGGAGGCCAUAUUGUACAGUUAAAUUGAAAGAACGAAAAUAAUUAUAUCAGCGUGAAGUGGGCACUAUUUAUCGUAAUAUUUUUAUCUCCUGUCUUUCAACGACGUUAGUUGAAAUUCACAGUUACAAAACAAGUAAGGGGGGCCAAUCCGUGGGUUCCUGAUAUUUUAUACAUAAGUAUAUUUUAGUAGUGUAUUUCGAUCGAGAGGCAUCGUCGGUCUAUAUUACAGGAGUUUGUUGCUGCAAGCGAAAUGGGCACUCGAGAUGACGAAUAUGAUUAUUUAUUUAAAGUUGUCCUUAUUGGUGAUUCUGGAGUAGGAAAAAGUAACCUACUAUCUCGUUUCACACGCAAUGAGUUUAAUUUGGAAUCAAAGUCUACUAUAGGUGUUGAAUUUGCAACACGCAGUAUACAAGUAGAUGGUAAAACUAUUAAAGCUCAAAUUUGGGAUACAGCUGGACAAGAACGUUAUCGAGCCAUUACCUCUGCAUACUAUCGGGGUGCAGUUGGAGCAUUGUUGGUAUAUGAUAUUGCAAAACAUUUGACAUAUGAAAAUGUUGAAAGAUGGUUACGAGAAUUACGGGACCAUGCAGAUCAAAAUAUUGUGAUCAUGUUAGUGGGAAACAAAUCAGACUUAAGGCAUUUACGUGCAGUUCCAACUGAUGAGGCUAAAGCAUUUGCAGAAAAAAAUGGUCUUUCAUUUAUUGAAACCUCUGCUUUAGAUUCUACUAAUGUUGAAACAGCGUUCCAAAAUAUAUUAACAGAAAUAUACAGAAUCGUAUCACAAAAACAGAUACGAGAUCCACCAGAGGGAGAUACAAUUCGACCCCAAAAUGUAGAACCUAUUGAUGUCAAGCCGACAAUGAAUUCUGAUGGAAUGCGUAAACAGUGCUGUCAGUGACUUACCUUGCUGCUUAAAAUGUGUGUAUAGGCGAAUGCAAUACAAAUAUUCCAGAAAAGCAGUCUCAAGGAGGAAGAAUGGAAUAAGAUACUGAUGAUAAAUAUGGCAAGUGCAUAAUAAUUUGAAAUCUAAGACUAUAUGCACAAGUCCAUAAUGUCAUAUGUUUGAAGAAUUUGUAACCCCAACAACAUCAGGGUAUACUAUUCACUGAUGCUCUUAUGAGUAUAUAUUAUGCAUUCACAGAAAUAGUUAACAAAAAAAAGAAAAAAAACAAGCAUCAUGGUUAUGUAUGAUGCAGUAAAAGUGAAUACAUAUGCAUUAUUCUGUCCUUUAAA